rnacentral:tRNA from 1 species
GCCCGGAUGGCGAAACUGGCAGACGCAGCGGACUUAAAAUCCGCAGACCUUUACCGGUCGUGGGGGUUCAAGUCCCCCUCCGGGCACCA